CGAAGGUUUUGCCGCACUCUACCGUCGCCGAACUGUCGAAGGUUCUACCACCAUCGUCGAACACUUCUGAGAACACUUCUCCUAAGAGUAUAUCCUCUGCACAGGCUAAAAGAUUCACAAAAUUCAGGGAAAGGAAAGGGCUUAUUGAGAAAGAUGUGGUGAGAACUGAUAGAUCGAU